AAAACCCCAUUGUACGUCGGCUCAGUCUGCGAGGCCUUGGCAGUAUUGUGCUCCAGCCAGAAAAGGUGCACUCGUUACGGGCCCAGCUGCCAGCGAUCAUGGACAUGUUCUGUGACACGGAUAGAGGGCGUGUCAUGGGAGCCAUGCAUCAAGCUGCAGACAUCAUCUACCUCCUGGAUGGGGAGGGGCUUGGCUCCAUCUCCCAGGACAUUGCAGUCAGCCUUCGCCCCUUCAUUGAUGACGAGAGGGACAGCGUGCGCCC